rnacentral:rRNA from 1 species
GACGGGGAGCACCACGAACGGGUGGAGCUUGCGGUUUAAUUGGAUUCAACGCCGGAAAUCUUACCGGGACCGACAGCAAUAUGAAGGCCAGGCUGAAGACUUUGCCGGAUUAGCUGAGAGGUGGUGCAUGGCCGUCGUCAGUUCGUACUGUGAAGCAUCCUGUUAAGUCAGGCAACGAGCGAGACCCACGCCCACAGUUGCCAGCGUACUCUCUGGAGUGACGGGUACACUGUGGGACCGCCGCUGCUAAAGCGGAGGAAGGAAUGGGCAACGGUAGGUCAGUAUGCCCCGAAUAUCCCGGGCUACACGCGAGCUACAAUGGUUGGUACAAUGGGUAUCUACCCCGAAAGGGGACGGGAAUCUCCUAAAACCAAUCUUAGUUCGGAUUGAGGGCUGCAACUCGCCCUCAUGAAGCUGGAAUCCGUAGUAAUCGCGUUUCAACAGAACGCGGUGAAUACGUCCCUGCUCCUU